rnacentral:rRNA from 1 species
AGUGAACGCUGGCGGUAGGCCUAACACAUGCAAGUCGAACGGCAGCACAGUAAGAGCUUGCUCUUACGGGUGGCGAGUGGCGGACGGGUGAGGAAUACAUCGGAAUCUACUUUUUCGUGGGGGAUAACGUAGGGAAACUUACGCUAAUACCGCAUACGACCUACGGGUGAAGGCAGGGGAUCUUCGGACCUUGCGCGAUUGAAUGAGCCGAUGUCGGAUUAGCUAGUUGGCGGGGUAAAGGCCCACCAAGGCGACGAUCCGUAGCUGGUCUGAGAGGAUGAUCAGCCACACUGGAACUGAGACACGGUCCAGACUCCUACGGGAGGCAGCAGUGGGGAAUAUUGGACAAUGGGCGCAAGCCUGAUCCAGCCAUACCGCGUGGGUGAAGAAGGCCUUCGGGUUGUAAAGCCCUUUUGUUGGGAAUGAAAAGCAGCAGGUUAAUACCCCGCUGUUCUGACGGUACCCAAAGAAUAAGCACCGGCUAACUUCGUG